AUUGAACGCUGGCGGCAGGCCUAACACAUGCAAGUCGAGCGAGCGGCGGGCGGGUGAGUAAUGUAUGGGGACUGCCCGAUAGAGGGGGAUAACACCUGGAAACGGUAGCUAAUACACCAUACUACCGGAUAACGCCUAUGGGAUUAGCUAGUAGGUGGGGUAAUGGCUCACCUAGGCGACGAUCCCUAGCUGGUCUGAGAGGAUGAUCAGCCACACUGGGACUGAGACACGGCCCAGACUCCUACGGAGGCAGCAGUGGGGAAUAUUGCACAAUGGGCGCAAGCCUGAUGCAGCCAUGCCGCGUGUAUGAAGAAGGCCCUAGGGUUGUAAAGUACUUUCAGUCGGGAGGCGUUACCGACAGAAGAAGCACCGGCUAACUCCGUGCCAGCAGCCGCGGUAAUUC
rnacentral:rRNA from 1 species